GAUGAACGCUGGCGGCGUGCCUAAUACAUGCAAGUCGAGCGAACGGACGAGAAGCUUGCUUCUCUGAUGUUAGCGGCGGACGGGUGAGUAACACGUGGAUAACCUACUUAUAAGACUGGGAUAACUUCGGGAAACCGGAGCUAAUACCGGAUGAUAUUUUGAACCGCAUGGUUCAAAAGUGAAAGACGGUCUUGCUGUCACUUAUAGAUGGAUCCGCGCUGCAUUAGCUAGUUGGUAAGGUAACGGCUUACCAAGGCGACGAUGCAUAGCCGACCGGAGAGGAGGAUCGGCCACACGAGAACUGAGACACGGUCAAGACUCCUACGGGAGGCAGCAGUAGGGAAUCUUCCGCAAUGGGCGAAAGCCUGACGGAGCAACGCCGCGUGAGUGAUGAAGGUCUUCGGAUCGUAAAACUCUGUUAUUAGGGAAGAACAUAUGUGUAAGUAACUGUGGACAUCUUGACGGUACCUAAUCAGAAAGCCACGGCUAACUACGUG
rnacentral:rRNA from 1 species